CCUACGGGUGGCAGCAGUGGGGAAUAUUGGACAAUGGGGGAAACCCUGAUCCAGCGACGCCGCGUGAGUGAAGAAGUAUUUCGGUACGUAAAGCUCUAUCAGCAGGAAAGAAAAUGACGGUACCUGACUAAGAAGCCCCGGCUAACUACGUGCCAGCAGCCGAGGUAAUACGUAGGGGGCAAGCGUUAUCCGGAUUUACUGGGUGGAAAGGGAGCGUCGGCGGCAGCGCAAGUCUGGAGUGAAAUGCAGGGGCCCAACACCGGAACAGCUCUGGAAACUGUGAAGCUGGAGUGGAGGAGAGGUAAGCGGAAGUCCGGGUGUAGGGGUGAAAUGCGUAGAUAUCAGGAGGAACACCGGCGGCGAAGGCGGCUUACUGGACUGUAACUGACGUUGAGGCUCGAAGGCGUGGGGAGCAAACAGGAUUAGAUACCCUUGUAGUC
rnacentral:rRNA from 1 species